CUCCGCGCUAACCCUAUUUACACUACAACACCCACCGGCCGUCCCCCCUCUCCCUCGCCACUAACCCUAGCCAAAGCACCCGCCCCCGUACUAGAGCACUCGCCCCCUCUCGCCUCUUCGUCUCUCCCUCUCCAGUCUCCUUAGACUUAGAAAAUAGAAACACAGAGAUCCAAAACAGUUCCUCCUCAUCCUUUUCUUUCAGUUUGUGUUUCCAGCGUUUGAAACCAUUCAAGCCUCUCAAAAACAAAUCGACGUUCCUCUUCAUCUAUACAAGAUCACAGGGGUCAAAUUAAGAAUAGAGAUACGGUUGCUGUGUUGAUUUUGUUGAAUGCUCAAAAAUCAAUUUAUAAGAAUUCAGUGGAAAGUUGCAUCUAGCAACAGAUGAUAAUUAGUUCACAAAUUGAUGCAUUUAUUGAAAACAUAUGGUAUCAAAGUGCAAAUGAAGAUUUAUUUUUUUGGCUUGGAGUGUUUUAUGAUAAUGUUAUUUGUUAUUUUUUCUUUAAGCCCUUUGAAGGUAUUGGUUUGUAAUUUGAAUUAAUUUGGAUUUUAACUUAUUGGUAUGUGACUGUGUGUUAUUUAAA